GAUGAACGCUGGCGGCGUGCCUAAUACAUGCAAGUCGAGCGAACUGAUUAGAAGCUUGCUUCUAUGACGUUAGCGGCGGACGGGUGAGUAACACGUGGGUAACCUGCCUGUAAGACUGGGAUAACUUCGGGAAACCGAAGCUAAUACCGGAUAGGAUCUUCUCCUUCAUGGGAGAUGAGUGAAAGAUGGUUUCGGCUAUCACUUACAGAUGGGCCCGCGGUGCAUUAGCUAGUUGGUGAGGUAACGGCUCACCAAGGCAACGAUGCAUAGCCGACCUGAGAGGGUGAUCGGCCACACUGGGACUGAGACACGGCCCAGACUCCUACGGGAGGCAGCAGUAGGGAAUCUUCCGCAAUGGACGAAAGUCUGACGGAGCAACGCCGCGUGAGUGAUGAAGACUUUCGGGUCGUAAAACUCUGUUGUUAGGGAAGAACAAGUACAAGAGUAACUGCUUGUACCUUGACGGUACCUAACCAGAAAGCCACGGCUAACUACGUGCCAGCCGCCGCUGUAACAC
rnacentral:rRNA from 1 species